UACGUAGGGUGCAAGCGUUACUCGGAUUUAUUGGGCGUAAAGCGCAUGUAGGCGGUUUUGUAAGUCUGAUGUGAAAUCCCUGGACUCAAUUCAGGAACUGCAUUGGAUACUGCAAGACUAGAGUACGGGAGAGGUAGGUGGAAUUCCUGGUGUAGAGGUGAAAUUCGUAGAUAUCAGGAGGAACAACAGAGGCGAAGGCGACUUACUGGACCGUAACUGACGCUGAGAUGCGACGGUGUGGGGAGCAAACAGG
rnacentral:rRNA from 1 species